ensembl:lncRNA
CGGCACGUCUGGUAGCAUCUCUGGCUGCUGUUGAUCUUGUUUUUGGAGUAAAACACGGUGGAAGCUGAAUUAGUGAGGAUGACUCCUGCUCCUGUCAUCUCUAAGCUCCUCACACAUCUUUACCUGCACAUGAGGAAAUCACUCCUGUAGAAUGCAGAUGUUCAGAGGGAGAUGAUGCCACAUCUGGUCCAGCUGAUGGAAGGUCUUGAAGUUCUCUGACUGGCCUCUACUGAAGAUGGUCGUCUCACUGGAUUUAAGGUUCAGAUGCUCAGUAACAAACUCCACCAAUGAGCCAACAGGGAAGCUGUAGGUUUAUUAAAUGUUGCUAUGAAGGUAUCGCUGUUUUUCUUUGUGAAUGCAAUGUGCUCCAACUGAAACUUGAAUUAGAACUUAGAAGUAAAUCCUUCCAUCUGAAAACUGUGAUGGUGUUGGAUUGUCAGACCGUAAUGUUGCAGCUCAAAGCAGCUUUUCUAUCUCAGUUCAUUCUGACAUUCAGCUAUGAAUCAACACAGCAGAUGGUGAUCCAUGCUGUGGAAGUCUCACAUCUCCUGAUUUAAUGGAGCUGCUUUGCACUUUUUACACUGUUUAUUCACAAACACUUUAUUUAAUAAAAGUCCCAUCUAGUUUUUAUGAGGAAUGUGAUGUUUUCAUUUCUCUGUGAAUAACUGCAGUCUAAUGGAACAGCUGGAGUUGUAACAUCUGUCCUGAUAUUGAUCAUGAAGUAUUGAUCAGAAUACUUAUGGUCAGCAGUCAUCCCUGAAGUUUUACAUUAAAAUCUUUA